AGGUGAACCUGCGGAAGGAUCAUUACCGAGUGCGGGAACCCAGUCGGGUCCCAAUCUCCCACCCGUGUCUACCACACCUAGUGUUGCUUUGGCGGGCCCACUCCUCCGGUGUUCCGCCGGGGGGGUCGUCCCGGGGCGCGGUGUGCCCCCGGGGCCCGUGCCCGCCAGAGGCACUCACUGUGAACGCUUUUGUGAAUGCGAGGAUUGUCUGAGUGACGAAAUGCAAUCGUUCAAAACUUUCAACAAUGGAUCUCUUGGUUCCGGCAUCGAUGAAGAACGCAGCGAAAUGCGAUAAGUAAUGUGAAUUGCAGAAUUCCGUGAAUCAUCGAAUCUUUGAACGCACAUUGCGCCCUCUGGUAUUCCGGGGGGCAUGCCUGUCCGAGCGUCAUUGCGAACCCUCAAGCACGGCUUGUGUGUUGGGCCGCCGUCCCCUCGUUUGGAGGGGACGGGCCUGAAAGGCAGCGGCGGCGUCGCGUCCGGUCCUCGAGCGUAUGGGGCUCUGUCACGCGCUCAAGGAGGGGUCCGGCCGGGGCCAUAGCCUCUGAAGGUCAAUUCUUCCAAGGUUGACCUCGGAUCAGGUAGGAGUACCCGCUGAACUUAAGCAUAUCAAUAAGCGGGAGGA
rnacentral:rRNA from 1 species